rnacentral:SRP_RNA from 1 species
UUGUGGGCUAGGCCGGAGAGUCAGCAGUUCUCUGUUACCUGAAAUCUGCUUUAGCAGGAGCCGAAGCUUUGGGGAAGGGUUUAAUUUAAGAGACAGGAUCCUUAAAUGAUUCAAUGAACUUCUGUCCCCUAAGAUUAAGUUUUAAAGUCAACCCGUCAGAUUCGGAAGAAAGCAGCGGAAAUUUUACUGCUUAAUGCUUUUGGGAGCAACGGAAGCAAGAGCAUUAAAGGAACAAUCUUGUUUUUUGAGUUAAUUCGACUUCAAAGCAUGCCCACAU